rnacentral:rRNA from 2 species
AGUUAGCGGCGGACGGGUGAGUAACACGUGGGCAACCUGCCCUGUAGACUGGGAUAACACCGAGAAAUCGGUGCUAAUACCGGGUAAUCGAUUGAAUCGCAUGAUUCAAUUGUAAAAGAUGGCUCCGGCUAUCACUACGGGAUGGGCCCGCGGCGCAUUAGCUAGUUGGUAAGGUAAUGGCUUACCAAGGCGACGAUGCGUAGCCGACCUGAGAGGGUGAUCGGCCACACUGGGACUGAGACACGGCCCAGACUCCUACGGGAGGCAGCAGUAGGGAAUCUUCCGCAAUGGACGAAAGUCUGACGGAGCAACGCCGCGUGAGUGAUGAAGGGUUUCGGCUCGUAAAGCUCUGUUGUUAGGGAAGAACAAGUAUCGUUCGAAUAGGGCGGUACCUUGACGGUACCUAACCAGAAAGCCACGGCUAACUACGUGCCAGCAGCCGCGGUAAUACGUAGGUGGCAAGCGUUGUCCGGAAUUAUUGGGCGUAAAGCGCGCGCAGGCGGUCUUUUAAGUCUGAUGUGAAAGCCCCCGGCUCAACCGGGGAGGGUCAUUGGAAACUGGGAGACUUGAGUACAGAAGAGGAGAGUGGAAUUCCACGUGUAGCGGUGAAAUGCGUAGAUAUGUGGAGGAACACCAGUGGCGAAGGCGACUCUCUGGUCUGUAACUGACGCUGAGGCGCGAAAGCGUGGGGAGCAAACAGGAUUAGAUACCCUGGUAGUCCACGCCGUAAACGAUGAGUGCUAGGUGUUAGGGGUUUCGAUGCCCUUAGUGCCGAAGUUAACACAUUAAGCACUCCGCCUGGGGAGUACGACCGCAAGGUUGAAACUCAAAGGAAUUGACGGGGGCCCGCACAAGCAGUGGAGCAUGUGGUUUAAUUCGAAGCAACGCGAAGAACCUUACCAGGUCUUGACAUCCUUUGACAACCCUAGAGAUAGGGCUUUCCCCUUCGGGGGACAAAGUGACAGGUGGUGCAUGGUUGUCGUCAGCUCGUGUCGUGAGAUGUUGGGUUAAGUCCCGCAACGAGCGCAACCCUUUGAUCUUAGUUGCCAGCAUUCAGUUGGGG